CCUACGGGAGGCAGCAGUGGGGAAUAUUGGGCAAUGGGCGCAAGCCUGACCCAGCAACGCCGCGUGAAGGAAGAAGGCUUUCGGGUUGUAAACUUCUUUUCUCAGGGACGAAGAAAGUGACGGUAACUGAGGAAUAAGCCACGGCUAACUACGUGCCAGCAGCCGCGGUAAUACGGAGGUGGCAAGCGUUAUCCGGAUUUACUGGGUGUAAAGGGCGUGUAGGCGGGAAAGCAAGUCAGAUGUGAAAACCAUGGGCUCAACCUGUGGCCUGCAUUUGAAACGGUUUUUCUUGUGUACUGGAGAGGCAGACGGAAUUCCUAGUGUAGCGGUGAAAGGCGUAGAUAUUAGGAGGAACACCAGUGGCGAAGGCGGUCUGCUGGACAGCAACUGACGCUGAGGCGCGAAAGCGUGGGGAGCAAACAGGAUUAGAUACCCGUGUAGUC
rnacentral:rRNA from 1 species